UGCCAGCCGCCGCGGUAAUACAGAGGGUGCAAGCGUUGUCCGGAUUUAUUGGGCGUAAAGAGUUUGUAGGCGGUCUACCAAGUCCGAAGUGAAAGAAUGGAGCUCAACUCCAUCCCCGCUUUGGAAACUGGCAGACUAGAGAAAGUUAGAGGUAAGUGGAAUUUCCAGUGUAGCGGUGAAAUGCGUAGAUAUUGGAAAGAACACCAGAGGCGAAGGCGACUUACUGGAACUUUUCUGACGCUGAGAAACGAAAGCUAGGGUAGCGAAUGGGAUUAGAUA
rnacentral:rRNA from 1 species